GAUGAACGCUGGCGGCCUGCUUAACACAUGCAAGUCGAACGGCAGCACGAGGAGCUUGCUCCUUGGUGGCGAGUGGCGGACGGGUGAGUAACGCGUGAGGAUCUGCCCUUAGGUGGGGGACAACAGUUGGAAACGACUGCUAAUACCCCAUAUGCCGAGAGGUGAAAGAUUUAUUGCCUGAGGAUGAACUCGCGUCUGAUUAGCUAGAGGUGGGGUAAUGGCCUACCUAGGCAACGAUCAGUAGCUGGUCUGAGAGGACGAUCAGCCACACUGCAACUGAGACACGGUCCAGACUCCUACGGGAGGCAGCAGUGGGGAAUUUUCCGCAAUGGGGCGAAAGCCUGACGGGAGCAAUACCGCGUGCGGGAGGAAGGCCCUUGGGGUCGUAAACCGCUUUUAACAGGGAAGAAAAACUGACGGGACCUGUUGAAGAAGCCCGCGGCUAAACUCCCGUGCCAGCAGCCGCGGGUAAGAACGGAGGGAGGCAAGCCGUUAUCCGGAAAUAAUGGGGCGUAAAGCGGCCCGCAGGGUGGGCUUACCAAGGCUGUUGUUAAAGCCCAGGGCUCAACCCUGGAUCAGCAGUGGAAACUGGUAGGCUAGAGUGCGGUAGGGGCAGAGGGAAUUCCCAGUGUAGCGGUGAAAUGCGUAGAUAUUGGGAAGAACACCAGUGGCGAAGGCGCUCUGCUGGACCGCAACUGACACUCAUGGACGAAAGCUAGGGGAGCGAAAGGGAUUAGAUACCCCUGUAGUCCUAGCCGUAAACGAUGAACACUAGGUGUUGGACGUAUCGACCCGUUCAGUGCCGUAGCCAACGCGUUAAGUGUUCCGCCUGGGGAGUACGCACGCAAGUGUGAAACUCAAAGGAAUUGACGGGGGCCCGCACAAGCGGUGGAGUAUGUGGUUUAAUUCGAUGCAACGCGAAGAACCUUACCAGGGCUUGACAUGUCGCGAACUUUCUGGAAACAGAUUGGUGCCUUCGGGAGCGCGAACACAGGUGGUGCAUGGCUGUCGUCAGCUCGUGUCGUGAGAUGUUGGGUUAAGUCCCGCAACGAGCGCAACCCACGUUUUUAGUUGCCAUCAUUAAGUUGGGCACUCUAGAGAGACUGCCGGUGACAAACCGGAGGAAGGUGUGGAUGACGUCAAGUCAGCAUGCCCCUUACGCCCUGGGCUACACACGUACUACAAUGGUUGGGACAAAGGGUUGCAAACUCGCGAGAGCUAGCUAAUCCCAUAAACCCAGCCUCAGUUCAGAUUGCAGGCUGCAACUCGCCUGCAUGAAGUAGGAAUCGCUAGUAAUCGCAGGUCAGCAUACUGCGGUGAAUACGUUCCCGGGCCUUGUACACACCGCCCGUCACACCAUGGAAGUUGGCCACGCCCGAAGUCGUUACUCCAACCGCUUGCGGAGGGGGACGCCGAAGGUAGGGCUGAUGACUGGGGUGAAGUCGUAACAAGGUA
rnacentral:rRNA from 1 species